rnacentral:rRNA from 1 species
CCUACGGGAGGCAGCAGUGGGGAAUAUUGGACAAUGGAGGCAACUCUGACCCAGCAACGCCGCGUGAAGGAUGAAGGCCUUAGGGUUGUAAACUUAUGUUGUAAGGGAAGAAAAGAAUGACGGUACUGUACAAGAAAGCCCCGGCUAACUAUGUGCCAGCAGCCGCGGUAAUACAUAGGGGGCAAGCGUUGUUCGGAUUUACUGGGCGUAAAGGGGGCGUAGGCGGGAGAGUAAGUUAGGAGUGAAAGCCUUGGGCUCAACCCAAGAAAUGCGCUUGAAACUGGUUUUCUAGAGUGUUGGAGAGGUAAGUGGAAUUCCUGGUGUAGCGGUAGAAUGCGUAGAGAUUAGGAGGAACAUCAGAGGCGAAGGCGGCUUACUGGACCAUAACUGACGCUGAGGCUCGAAAGCGUGGGGAGCAAACAGGAUUAGAUACCCCGGUAGUC